rnacentral:rRNA from 1 species
UACGUAGGGUGCGAGCGUUGUCCGGAUUUAUUGGGCGUAAAGGGCUCGUAGGCGGCGUGUCGCGUCGGGAGUGAAAGACCGGGGCUCAACUCCGGAUCUGCGGUGGGUACGGGCAGACUAGAGUGAUGUAGGGGAGACUGGAAUUCCUGGUAUAGCGGUGAAAUGCGUAGAUAUCAGGAGGAACACCGGUGGUGUAGACGGCUAUCUGGACCGUAACUGACGCUGAGGCACGAAAGCGUGGGUAGCAAACAGG